rnacentral:rRNA from 1 species
UGGCGAGUGGCGAACGGGUGAGUAAUAUAUCGGAACGUGCCCAGUCGUGGGGGAUAACGCAGCGAAAGCUGUGCUAAUACCGCAUACGAUCUAUGGAUGAAAGCGGGGGAUCGCAAGACCUCGCGCGAUUGGAGCGGCCGAUAUCAGAUUAGGUAGUUGGUGGGGUAAAAGCUCACCAAGCCGACGAUCUGUAGCUGGUCUGAGAGGACGACCAGCCACACUGGAACUGAGACACGGUCCAGACUCCUACGGGAGGCAGCAGUGGGGAGUUUUGGACAAUGGGCGCAAGCCUGAUCCAGCAAUGCCGCGUGCAGGAUGAAGGCCUUCGGGUUGUAAACUGCUUUUGUACGGAACGAAACGGUCCUUUCUAAUACAAGGGGCUAAUGACGGUACCGUAAGAAUAAGCACCGGCUAACUACGUG